CAGGUGUUGGCGGGGUAAUGGCCCACCAAGCCUGCGAUCAGUAACUGGUGUGAGAGCACGACCAGUCACACGGGCACUGAGACACGGGCCCGACUCCUACGGGAGGCAGCAGUAAGGAAUAUUGGUCAAUGGACGCAAGUCUGAACCAGCCAUGCCGCGUGGAGGAUUAAGGCCCUCUGGGUUGUAAACUCCUUUUAUCUGGGAAGAAAUCCACAUAUUCUUAUGUGGUUGACGGUACCAGAGGAAUAAGCACCGGCUAACUCCGUGCCAGCAGCCGCGGUAAUACGGAGGGUGCAAGCGUUAUCCGGAUUCACUGGGUUUAAAGGGUGCGUAGGCGGGUAAGUAAGUCCGUGGUGAAAUCUCUGAGCUUAACUCAGAAACUGCCGUGGAUACUAUUUGCCUUGAAUAUUGUGGAGGUGAGCGGAAUAUGUCAUGUAGCGGUGAAAUGCUUAGAUAUGACAUAGAACACCAAUUGCGAAGGCAGCUCACUACACAAUCAUUGACGCUGAGGCACGAAAGCGUGGGGAUCAAACAGGAUUAGAUACCCUGGUAGUCCACGCCCUAAACGAUGAUUACUCGACAUCAGCGAUACACUGUUGGUGUCUGAGCGAAAGCAUUAAGUAAUCCACCUGGGAAGUACGA
rnacentral:rRNA from 1 species